GAUGAACGCUGGCGGCGUGCCUAAUACAUGCAAGUCGAGCGAACAGACGAGGAGCUUGCUCCUCUGAUGUUAGCGGCGGACGGGUGAGUAACACGUGGAUAACCUACCUAUAAGACUGGGAUAACUUCGGGAAACCGGAGCUAAUACCGGAUAACAUGUUGAACCGCAUGGUUCAACAGUGAAAGACGGUCUUGCUGUCACUUAUAGAUGGAUCCGCGCCGCAUUAGCUAGUUGGUAAGGUAACGGCUUACCAAGGCAACGAUGCGUAGCCGACCUGAGAGGGUGAUCGGCCACACUGGAACUGAGACACGGUCCAGACUCCUACGGGAGGCAGCAGUAGGGAAUCUUCCGCAAUGGGCGAAAGCCUGACGGAGCAACGCCGCGUGAGUGAAGAAGGUCUUCGGAUCGUAAAACUCUGUUAUUAGGGAAGAACAAAUGUGUAAGUAACUAUGCACGUCUUGACGGUACCUAAUCGGAAAGCCACGGCUAACUACGUG
rnacentral:rRNA from 1 species